rnacentral:RNase_P_RNA from 2 species
UCAGUCGGCCGGACGGCCGCUCUCGCAAACGCCGAAAGGCCGCGAGGGAGGAAAGUCCGGGCUCCAUGGACAAACGGUGCCGGAUAACGUCCGGCGGAGCGGUGAAGGCGUGAGCCCGCGCCGCUUCAGGGAAAGUGCCACAGAGAACGAACCGCCUCGUCUUCGGACGCGGUAAGGGUGAAAAGGUGCGGUAAGAGCGCACCGCGCCGGCAGCAAUGGCGGCGGCAUGGCAAACCCCACCGGGAGCAAAACCGAAUAGGAACGGCGUAGCGGUAAGUUCGCCUCAGGCGAUAACACCGCGGGGCAUGUCUGGCCUUGCCGUUCGGGUAGGUUGCUUGAGGCAGCGUGUGAACGCUGUCCCAGAGGAAUGGCCGUCACGUAUCGUCCGCGCGAGCGGCGGUGCCCUACAGAACCCGGCUUACAGGCUGGCUGACACG